rnacentral:lncRNA from 1 species
CUCUAUGAAAGGGAAUAUUUAACCUGUGACUUGAAUGCAAUCAUCACACAGAUGUUUCUGAGAAUGCUUCUGUCUAGAUUUUAUAUGAAGAUAUUCCCGUUUCCAACGAAAUCCUCAAAGGUAUCCAAAUAUCCUCUUGCAGAUUCUACAAAAACGAUGUUGCUAAAAUGCUCUAUCAAAAGAAAGGUUCAACUCUGUGAGUUGAGUACACACAUCACAAACUAGUUUCUGAUAAUGCUUCUGUCUAUUUUUUAUGGGAAGAUAUUUCCUUUUUCACCAUAUGCCACAAAGCGAUCCAAAUGUUCUGUUGCAGAUACUA